rnacentral:rRNA from 1 species
AAGUCGUAACAAGGUUUCCGUAGGUGAACCUGCGGAAGGAUCAUUACAAGAACGCCCGGGCUUCGGCCUGGUUAUUCAUAACCCUUUGUUGUCCGACUCUGUUGCCUCCGGGGCGACCCUGCCUUCGGGCGGGGGCUCCGGGUGGACACUUCAAACUCUUGCGUAACUUUGCAGUCUGAGUAAACUUAAUUAAUAAAUUAAAACUUUUAACAACGGAUCUCUUGGUUCUGGCAUCGAUGAAGAACGCAGCGAAAUGCGAUAAGUAAUGUGAAUUGCAGAAUUCAGUGAAUCAUCGAAUCUUUGAACGCACAUUGCGCCCCCUGGUAUUCCGGGGGGCAUGCCUGUUCGAGCGUCAUUUCACCACUCAAGCCUCGCUUGGUAUUGGGCAACGCGGUCCGCCGCGUGCCUCAAAUCGUCCGGCUGGGUCUUCUGUCCCCUAAGCGUUGUGGAAACUAUUCGCUAAAGGGUGUUCGGGAGGCUACGCCGUAAAACAACCCCAUUUCUAAGGUUGACCUCGGAUCAGGUAGGGAUACCCGCUGAACUUAA